rnacentral:rRNA from 1 species
GACGAACGCUGGCGGCGUGCUUAACACAUGCAAGUCGAACGGAAAGGCCCUGCUUUUGUGGGGUUCUCGAGUGGCGAACGGGUGAGUAACACGUGAGUAACCUGCCCUUGUCUUUGGGAUAACUUCUGGAAACUGGGGCUAAUACCGGAUAUGAGCUCCUGCUGCAUGGUGGGGGUUGGAAAGUUUCGGCGGUUGGGGAUGGACUCGCGGCUUAUCAGCUUGUUGGUGGGGUAGUGGCUUACCAAGGCUUUGACGGGUAGCCGGCCUGAGAGGGUGACCGGCCACAAUGGGACUGAGAUACGGCCCAGACUCCUACGGGAGGCAGCAGUGGGGAAUAUUGCACAAUGGGCGGAAGCCUGAUGCAGCAACGUCGCGAGCGGGAUGACGGCCUUCGGGUUGUAAACCGCUUUCGCCUGUGACGAAGCGUGAGUGACGGUAAUGGGUAAAGAAGCACCGGCUAACUACGUG